UGAAUAUUCACACUUCAUCUUGAAACACUCAUGUAAGAGGAAAAGAAGAACUUCUGCAAAUUCAGGGAUCAACACUGAUGACAUUCUAAAUUUACUUGGACCAAAUCUGAACAUCAGAUGAAUCACAUUAUCUACUUUGUGGGACCCAUUUAGAAAGACUCCAAAUAUCCAAAUGACACCAGCUAAGGAUACAAAAGAGAAUUAUAAAGAGGAAGAUACUGCAGAUUGGCUCGUUACAUACGGACUCUGACUCCCUUCUAGAUUCCCUUCUGCACUAUGGUACUUGAAAAACUGCAUUUACUAGGCUCCAGGGUUCAAGGCCACGGCAAGGAGUUUUGUCCUCCUUCAGGCACAGAGGUAGUAGUGCUUAGUUCUUCUGGAGCUUUUGCAGCAGAGAUGUUGGUUAUAGGUCCCCAGAAUCCUGGUUCUUAUGUGAUAUGCAGUCCCAGCAGUAGUUUUUCAUGUGAUGUUGAGUACGUUUUCCAGCUUGGUGGUAUUAAGAUUUAUGGUAUGUAAACUCCA